GAAAUUGCCACUACAAUUUGGUGUCAGAAUAGUGGGAUGUCUUGGAGGAACUUUUCCGGACCCUGCGGACGGUGACUGAUCAUCCUGGGACUUCGUGUCACAGCCCUGCCCCACUUGGUUGAGGGUUGAGGGGCCGACCGCCGGGCUCGGAGAAGAACCCCACUGACAUCUGGGAAAAAGAACUCAGUGGCAUCUGAACUCUCUGGUAAGAAACAAAUUCUUUGUUUAUUGUUAAAAAAGAAAUUUAACAAGUUUUGGGUAUUUGAUUAGGCAAUUUAAAAGGGUUUUUACUGCAAUUUGGGUCAUCACCAUGCUGGCGGGUCUGUCUCUGUGGGAUAGCGGCGUGAUUAAUACAAGUGAGAUCUGACAUCAGGCGGGGAUCGAGACCUUUUUACAAGUGAGAUCUGGCGUUUAGCUGAGAUCAAGACCUUACACAAGUGAGAUCUGGUGCCUGACUAAGAUCAAGACCUUUCUAAUACGUUUGGCUAGCUAACU